CAGCAGCCGCGGGAAUACGGAGGGUGCAAGCGUUAAUCGGAAUUACUGGGCGUAAAGCGCACGCAGGCGGUUUGUUAAGUCAGAUGUGAAAUCCCCGAGCUUAACUUGGGAACUGCAUUUGAAACUGGCAAGCUAGAGUCUUGUAGAGGGGGGUAGAAUUCCAGGUGUAGCGGUGAAAUGCGUAGAGAUCUGGAGGAAUACCGGUGGCGAAGGCGGCCCCCUGGACAAAGACUGACGCUCAGGUGCGAAAGCGUGGGGAGCAAACAGGAUUAGAUACCCGCGUAGUCCCUGUCUCUUAUAA
rnacentral:rRNA from 1 species